GAAAAACCAGAAAAGAAAUGGAAAAAAAAACAA
rnacentral:rRNA from 1 species